CACGUAUUUAGCCGGGGCUUCUUGGUCAGGUACCGUCAUUCUCUUCCCUGCUGACAGAGCUUUACAUACCGGAGUACUCCAUCGCUCACGCGGCGUCGCUGCAUCAGGGUUGCCCCCAUUGUGCAAUAUCCCCCACUGCUGCCUCCCGUAGGAGUCUGGGCCGUGUCUCAGUCCCAAUGUGGCCGUCACCCUCUCAGGCCGGCUACUGAUCGUCGCCUUGGUGGGCCGUUACCCCGCCAACCAGCUAAUCAGACGCGGACCCAUCCCGCACCGCACAAGGCUUUCCGCACCGCCCCAUGUGGGGCUGUGCGCAUAUGCGGUAUUAGCAGCCGUUUCCGGCUGCUGUCCCCCAGUGCGGGUAGUGUCACGCGCUACUCACCCGUCCGCCACUCAGUCACAGACGGCUUCCUCCCCGGAGGGACUUCCACCUAAGUCGCUUCGUUCGACUUGCAUCGUGUUAGGCACGCCGCCAGCGUUCAUCCUGAGCAGGUA
rnacentral:rRNA from 1 species